rnacentral:rRNA from 1 species
CAAAAAUUAAGCCAUGCAUGUGAA